AGCUCUUCUGUUACAACCAUCCAUGUUGCCUGACUUUGGUCGACUGAAAUCAUGGCUUAGAAAUCAACAUCGCAGCCUCUUGGACACAUAAGACUGGUUUAGGAAUACAAGCAAAAUUCUACAUUGAUUCUUUGGUUUAUAUACUUUUCUGUAAAGUACUGUCAGAAAAUGCGUCUAUUCAACUUUCCUGUCAUUUUUCCUAAUAAUCAUGUUAUUCUUUAGAAUAUAAAUUAUUGUCAACUCGGAGUUUCUACCCAGCCUAAUUGAGAUGCAUGAAAUUCAUUAGUGUUGUAUUUCAUUUGCAUAGCAUGAUUUGAGCACAUCAAUAUUAUGUGAUUCCAGACUCCAAGAGAUCCUUGGCUGCGAAUGUGUUCUGACUCCAGAUUUCUUAGAGUUGCUUUCUCAGCGCUUCACCUAGACGACAUAUCAUAUCUUCAUUAAUAGAUCUAGGAUUGCAGUGCUACCAGAUAGGCCUAACUUCACAUAUUAUGGUUUUUUUUGGCAAAAUGGACAGCAUAGCUAAUGUAGCUCUUUCCCCAGUAUUCUGCAUUGCUAAGUGCAAUCUUUAAGCUCUUGUGGCUUGAGAUUUUAUCCAUAUAUUUAUUUAAAGGAAGAGAUGCAGAAGCAGCAGUAGGCAAUUAGACAAGUACCUGACUGUUGUUGGGCCGAGCGCACCUGAUUGGGUCCUGUCCGUAAGCACCACCCCUUUUAGAGGGUUAGCUUAGUUGGCAAUCCACAACAAUGAAGCUUCAGAUACUUAUUCUAAACAGGGUUAUAUUGAAGUUUGGAUAUACCAGAGAUCAACCAGCGAGAAGCAUGUAUAUACCAGGAAACCAAAGAAUUAGCCUAGAAGCAAGUAUUUUGUCCAGGACCUGCAAUGGAAAAUAUAAGACACUUAUCUAGCACUGUAUUCUAUGUUAGCUCUAAUGAGGGGAGCUGGAGCGUAUCACCUAAAUAUGUGUCAGUGGAGUGUGGUUACUGGAAUGGCUAAGCAAUACAUAACAUCAUUAUCCUGUAACCUAAGCACAGUGCCGAUGAAAAAAAGCUACCACAUUGUUUUCUACGAUAAAAUAUUUCUAUUUGUAAUUUUCCGUGUUUUAUCCUAAGUUCAUCCUAUUGACUUUA